rnacentral:tRNA from 1 species
GGAGAGGUGGCAGAGUGGUCUAUUGCGGCGGUCUUGAAAACCGCUGAAUCGAAAGGUUCCGGGGGUUCGAAUCCCUCCCUCUCCGCCA